rnacentral:lncRNA from 1 species
UCAUCGGUCUCCUGACCACGACCACGACCAUCGAAAACACGACCAAAACCGUCAUAGGUCUCCUGACCAGGACCAGGACCAAAUAAAAACCGAUUAUAAGGCUCCUGACCAGGACCAUCUGAAAAACGACCAAAACGGUCAUUACUAUACCUUUCACCAGAUUCCUGGCCAAAAGAGAAUUGAUCGAUAGACAUGUUAUCUGCCUCCGCUUUUACACUAAACGAUGAGAUCAACAAAUCCACCUUUUCUUCCAUCUUUUGAAGACGACUAUCCAUCUUUUCUUCCAUCUUCUGAAGACGAUCAGCCACUCCUUGCAAUAUCUCCAUCACAUCAGAUAUUUUCUUCUCAGCCAUGUCUUUCUUAUGUUUCUCCAAAACAUCUUUCGGCUCUC